rnacentral:rRNA from 1 species
GACGAACGCUGGCGGCGUGCUUAACACAUGCAAGUCGAACGGAAAGGCCCUGCUUUUGUGGGGUGCUCGAGUGGCGAACGGGUGAGUAACACGUGAGUAACCUGCCCUUGACUUUGGGAUAACUUCAGGAAACUGGGGCUAAUACCGGAUAGGAGCUCCUGCUGCAUGGUGGGGGUUGGAAAGUUUCGGCGGUUGGGGAUGGACUCGCGGCUUAUCAGCUUGUUGGUGGGGUAGUGGCUUACCAAGGCUUUGACGGGUAGCCGGCCUGAGAGGGUGACCGGCCACCUUGGGCCUGCGAUACGGCCCAGACUCCUACGGGAGGCAGCAGUGGGGAAUAUUGCACAAUGGGCGGAAGCCUGAUGCAGCAACGCUGCGUGCGGGAUGACGGCCUUCGGGUUGUAAACCGCUUUCGACUGUGACGAAGCGUGAGUGACGGUAAUGGGUAAAGAAGCACCGGCUAACUACGUG